rnacentral:rRNA from 1 species
UACGUAGGUGGCAAGCGUUGUCCGGAUUUAUUGGGCGUAAAGCGCGCGCAGGCGGUCCUUUAAGUCUGAUGUGAAAUCUUGCGGCUCAACCGCAAGCGGUCAUUGGAAACUGGGGGACUUGAGUACAGAAGAGGAAAGUGGAAUUCCACGUGUAGCGGUGAAAUGCGUAGAGAUGUGGAGGAACACCAGUGGCGAAGGCGACUUCUGGUCUGUAACUGACGCUGAGGCGCGAAAGCGUGGGGAGCCAAACAGG